ACCAAUUGAUCUCCCUCCCCUUCCCCCCAGGCCCAAACACCCUUCUCCUAAAGGCUGCUCAAACCCGUUCAAAACAGCUUAAGACCUGCCCUUAAACCUGACCCAUCUCCACAAAUAUACACACGGAUAAGACCAAACGAACCAAAAUCCCUAACUCCACACGCACUGUUCAUCGUCUUCUUCACAAAGCAGCGUUUCAACUCGCCGAAUCCAUGGCGAGUGAUUCCAAACUCAUAACUAUGCGUCCCUCCAUCUCUCAUCUUGCCGUUUCUAACGGUUUUGGAUGCCAAAGAUUCCCCUCUCCUCUCACUCGCUCGAAUUUGGGAUAUAUCUCAUGAUUGGAAGGUUCUGGAAACGAUUGGCUGGAUAAGUGUGAGGCUUUGGAUUGAUUUCACUCAAUCAGGGGUUCAUUUUCAAAAGGAGCCUGAUCCUAUUUUGAGAGCAGAGAACUCUGGUAGAGAACGGGGAUUUCUCUGAAAUAGAAAAAUGGGAGAGAAAAGGUUUAAGGAUUUUCUUUAGCUUCUCAUUCUCUUUUCUCUGGAAAAUUUCUUUCAAAGUUUCUCUUAAAGGAUCAAAGAGUGAUAUACAUUUUUUAAAAUUUUUUAAUCUGGUUUUGAGUUUCUUCGAUUGGUGGUGAGGUUCCUUCGAUUCUCUACUAUUGUCCUGCUAGUUUGCUGUUGAACCCAGCUAGGAUUUUGCGACCAAAGGGUGUAUUUGUUGAUUCUGUACUUAUUAUAAAAGAAGUUUGCAAUUUCAGCUAUUCGAUUUCACUUGUACUAGACGUUCGAGCAAAGUUAAUUAGAAGUGUUUACUGAUUCAGGUUCAUUUCUAAUCUCCUGUAACCUAUCUUUGGUAUUUGAUUAAAAAUGUAUUGAGAGUUCGAGUUCAGCUGGUUUAGAACUGUAUAAAUCUUGGUGACUUUUGAUCGUAAUGUGUUUAAUUUCCAUUUGCAUGAGUAUUUCUGGUUUGGUUUGGCUGUGAAUAUGUUAAAAUAAGUUC
rnacentral:lncRNA from 1 species